rnacentral:lncRNA from 1 species
UUGGUGUGGAGCAAACCUUGUCAGUUCAUUAAACUUGGCGGCGUAUUGGGUAACCGUCAUGUCCCCUUGUUUCAAAUCUAUAAAACCACAUCUCCAUUCUCCCCUGCAUACUCGUGGGAAAGUAGUUCUCGAAGAAUAUCUCCUUGAACCUCACCCAUGUCAAAUUCUCGAUCCCAGCUCUAGCCUGAUUGGCCUCCCACCAAAAGUUGGC